rnacentral:rRNA from 1 species
UGGGAAGUAUUGCGCAAUGGGCGAAAGCCUGACGCAGCGACGCCGCGUGAGGGAUGAAGGUCCUCGGAUCGUAAACCUCUGUCAGGGGGGAAGAAGCGCCUGUGAGCAAAUAGUUCAUGGGUUUGACGGUACCCAGCCAAGGAGCACCGGCUAACUCCGUGCCAGCAGCCGCGGUAAUACGGAGGGUGCGAGCGUUAAUCGGAAUCACUGGGCGUAAAGCGCACGUAGGUGGCGUGGUAAGUCGGGGUGGAAUCCAACCAGCUCAACUGUGGAACUGCCUUCGAUACUGUCAUGCUUGAGUAUCGGAGAGGGUGGCGGAAUUCCAGGUGUAGGAGUGAAAUCCGUAGAUAUCUGGAAGAACACCGGUGGCGAAGGCGGCCACCUGGACGAAAACUGACGCUGAGGUGCGAAAGCGUGGGGUAGCAAACAGGAUUAGAUACC